GACGAACGCUGGCGGCGUGCUUAACACAUGCAAGUCGAACGGAAAGGCCCUGCUUUUGUGGGGUGCUCGAGUGGCGAACGGGUGAGUAACACGUGAGUAACCUGCCCUUGACUUUGGGAUAACUUCAGGAAACUGGGGCUAAUACCGGAUAGGAGCUCCUGCUGCAUGGUGGGGGUUGGAAAGUUUCGGCGGUUGUGGAUGGACUCGCGGCUUAUCAGCUUGUUGGGGGGGUAGUGGCUUACCAAGGCUUUGACGGGUAGCCGGCCUGAGAGGGUGACCGGCCACAUUGGGACUGAGAUACGGCCCAGACUCCUACGGGAGGCAGCAGUGGGGAGUAUUGCACAAUGGGCGGAAGCCUGAUGCAGCAACGCCGCGUGCGGGAUGACGGCCUUCGGGUUGUAAACCGCUUUCGCCUGUGACGAAGCGUGAGUGACGGUAAUGGGUAAAGAAGCACCGGCUAACUACGUG
rnacentral:rRNA from 1 species